ensembl:lncRNA
AAACUGGCGCAGGGCUACGGGGGCGUCUCCCUCUAAUUCCCUUUUCUUUUUCUUGGGGUUUCCCCUAAUGACUUAGGGGGCGGAACUGAUCAGGGUCUUUGUACCAAGGAUCAAACUCAGGACCCUUGUGCUUACCAGGCAGGCGCACCACCUCUGAGCUAAAUCCCCAGCCCUUUCAGCUAAUCUUUACAUAUUUGUUAAUUUACUCAGAAGGACUGUUUCUAACAAUGCCAUGGGCAAUGGACUCUGGUGAACAGAACAUUACUCAGCCUUCAAACAACAUCUGGCAUCUGGCUGUCCCCCAAACUGAGAUGGAUGAUGAAAGCACAUGACCUGAUGAGUGUCCCCAAAUAAUUCUCCUUACAUUAAAAUCAAAUAUAAAGGUCCCUGAUUUUCUCUGUCGAUAGAUUCUUUGCUUAGAAUUCACCCUCUGCUCUCUUGCAGUGUAUCAAAAAACUCUUCAACUGUUCUAUAUUCCUAUGACUACUGAUAAAUCCUUUUUUUUGG